GGCUGGAGAGAAGAGAGAGGAGAGGAGAGGGAGUAGGGCUGGAGAGAAGAGGGAGGAGAGGAGAGGGAGGGAGGAGGGCUGGAGAGAAGAGAGAGGAGAGGAGAGGGAGGAGGGCUGGAGAGAAGAGGGAGGAGAGGAGAGGGAGGAGGGCUGGAGAGAAGAGAGAGAGGAAAGGAGAGGAGAGGGAGGAGGGCUGGAGAGAGUAAAGGAGAGGGAGGAGGGCUGGAGAGAGUAAAGGAGAGGGAGGAGGGCUGGAGAGAGAAGAGAGUGGAAAGGAGAGGGAGGAGGGCUGGAGAGAAGAGAGAGGAGAGGAGAGGGAGGAGGGCUGGAGAGAAGAGAGAGAGAGGAAAGGAGAGGGAGGAGGGCUGGAGAGAAGAGAGAGGAGAGGAGAGGGAGGAGGGCUGGAGAGAAGAGAGAGAGAGGAGAGGAG
ensembl:lncRNA